rnacentral:rRNA from 1 species
UACGUAGGGACCGAGCGUUGUCCGGAAUCAUUGGGCGUAAAGAGCGUGUAGGCGCCAACUAAGUCCUGCGUGAAAUCUCGGGGCUCAACCCCGAGCGGUCGUGGGAAACUGGUUGGCUAGAGUGCGGGAGAGGAGAGUAGAAUUCCUGGUGUAGCGGUGAAAUGCGCAGAUAUCAGGAGGAACACCGAUUGCGAAGGCAGCUCGCUGGGACGUGAGCUGACGCUGGAGGUGCGAAAGCGUGGGGAGCAAACAGGAUUAGAA